AUAUCAAUAAGCGGAGGAAAAGAAACCAACAGGGAUUGCCCUAGUAACGGCGAGUGAAGCGGCAACAGCUCAAAUUUGAAAUCUGGCUCCUUUGGGGUCCGAGUUGUAAUUUGCAGAGGGUGCUUUGGCAUCGGCGGCGGUCUAAGUUCCUUGGAACAGGACAUCGCAGAGGGUGAGAAUCCCGUACGUGGGCGCCUGCCUUUGCCGUGUAAAGCCCCUUCGACGAGUCGAGUUGUUUGGGAAUGCAGCUCUAAAUGGGAGGUAAAUUUCUUCUAAAGCUAAAUACUGGCCAGAGACCGAUAGCGCACAAGUAGAGUGAUCGAAAGAUGAAAAGCACUUUGGAAAGAGAGUCAAACAGCAC
rnacentral:rRNA from 1 species